UACAGAGGGUGCAAGCGUUGUUCGGAAUUAUUGGGCGUAAAGCGCGUGUAGGCGGCUUUGUAAGUUGGGUGUGAAAGCCCUCGGCUUAACCGAGGAAGUGCGCCCAAAACUGCAAGGCUUGAGUGCCGGAGAGGGUGGCGGAAUUCCCGGUGUAGAGGUGAAAUUCGUAGAUAUCGGGAGGAACACCAGUGGCGAAGGCGGCCACCUGGACGGUAACUGACGCUGAGACGCGAAAGCGUGGGGAGCAAACAGG
rnacentral:rRNA from 1 species